UACGGAGGGUGCAAGCGUUAUCCGGAUUUACUGGGUUUAAAGGGUGUGUAGGCGGGCCUUUAAGUCAGUGGUGAAAUCUCCAGGCUCAACCUGGAAACUGCCAUUGAUACUAUUGGUCUUGAAUUCUGUUGAGGUGGGCGGAAUAAGUCAUGUAGCGGUGAAAUGCAUAGAUAUGACUUAGAACACCAAUUGCGAAGGCAGCUCGCUAAACAG
rnacentral:rRNA from 1 species